AGCAGCCGCGGUAAUUCCAGCUCCAAUAGCGUAUAUUAAAGUUGUUGCAGUUAAAAAGCUCGUAGUUGAAUUUCGGGAUCAAAGGAUCGGUCAUGCCUUGGUAUGUACUGGUUUUAUUGGUUCUCACCUUCUAAAGAACCAUAAUGUCAUUCAUUUGAUGUUAUGGGGAAUUAGGACUGUUACCUUGAAAAAAUUAGAGUGUUUAAAGCAGGCUUACGCUUGAAUACAUUAGCAUGGAAUAAUGAAAUAGGACAUCAGAUUCUAUUUUGUUGGUUUCUAGGAUCGAUGUAAUGAUUAAUAGGGAUAGUUGGGGGCAUUAGUAUUCAAUUGUCAGAGGUGAAAUUCUUGGAUUUAUUGAAGACUAACUACUGCGAAAGCAUUUGCCAAGGAUGUUUUCAUUAAUCAAGAACGAAAGUUAGGGGAUCGAAGACGAUCAGAUACCGUCGUAGUCUUAACCAUAAACUAUGCCGACUAGGGAUCGGAUGAUGUUAAUUUUAUAAUGACUCAUUUCGGCACCUUA
rnacentral:misc_RNA from 1 species